rnacentral:tRNA from 1 species
GUGGGAUUAGCUCAGCUGGUUAGAGCGUCGGAUUGUGGUUCCGAAGGUCAUGGGUUCGAACCCCAUAUUCCACCCCA